rnacentral:rRNA from 1 species
UAAUUGAAGAGGUUUGGAAAGACCCACCACAGAAGGUAAUAGUCCUGUAUGUUAAACGAGAAGACUUUAGAUAUGAUCCAGAGUACCACGGGACACGUGAAACCCUGUGGGAAGCAGGAGGGACCACCCUCCAAGGCUAAAUACUACCUAGUGACCGAUAGCGUAUAGUACCGUGAGGGAAAGGUGAAAAGAACCCCGGGAGGGGAGUGAAAUAGAACCUGAAACCCUGCACUUACAAGCUGUGGAAGCACAUUUCUUGUGUGACCGCGUACUUUUUGUAGAACGGGCCAACGAGUUACGUUAAGUAGCAAGGUUAAGCACUUAAGGUGCGGAGCCGUAGCGAAAGCGAGUUUUAACUGAGCGUUCAGUUACUUGACGUAGACCCGAAACCGGGCGACCUACCCAUGAGCAGGAUGAAGCGAAAGUAAAAUUUCGUGGAGGUCCGAACCCACGAGCGUUGAAAAGCUCGGGGAUGACUUGUGGGUAGCGGUGAAAUUCCAAUCGAGCCCGGAGAUAGCUGGUUCUCCCCGAAAUAGCUUUAGGGCUAGCCUCAAGGUGAGAGAUACGGAGGUAGAGCACUGAAUGUCCUAGGGGGUAUUGCACCUACCGAAGACUAUCAAACUCCGAAUGCCGUCAUCUUAUACUUGGGAGUCAGACUGUGGGUGAUAAGAUUCAUAGUCGAAAGGGCAACAGCCCAGAUCGUCAGCUAAGGUCCCUAAAUGUAAGUUAAGUGGUAAAGGAUGUGGGAUUGCACAGACAACCAGGAUGUUGGCUUAGAAGCAGCCACUCAUUCAAAGAGUGCGUAAUAGCUCACUGGUCGAGUGAUCCUGCGCCGAAGAUUUCCGGGGCUAAAACUUACUACCGAAGCUACGGCAUCAGUAAUGAUGGGUAGGGGAGCUUCCCAUACGGGUUGAAGCAUGACCGUAAGGACAUGUGGACAGUAUGGGAGUGAGAAUGUUGGCAUGAGUAGCGAGAUGUGGGUGAGAAUCCCACAGGCCGUAAACCCAAGGUUUCCAGGGGAAGGUUCGUCCGCCCUGGGUUAGUCGGGACCUAAGCUGAGGCCGAAAGGCGUAGGUGAUGGACAACAGGUUGAUAUUCCUGUACUACCGAUAAC